rnacentral:lncRNA from 1 species
CAUCUAAAGGCCAUGAUAACUUCUGGAAAAAGUCCAUGCUAAUUUCUGGUUUACCUAGAGCUCUCCCAGUUUACAUAUUAUUAAUUAACCUUCUUUCAUUGUACAAACUGUCAUGGUUUGAGAAAUGAAUUAUAUAGGCAUCUUAAUUCUUGACAAUGCUUUCAGCAGCCUUUCAGAAAUUCUAAGGUCACAAUGUUGGAUUAGCUGUUUAAGCUGCAAGCAACAUGGUAGAUUUUGGGAAGGGAUGUAAGCUUGAACCAAGAAAUCCCCUUUAUUUUGCUUCUAAAUCAACAUAUACAAAUCAACAAAAAUAAAAAGCCAAGGCACCCUUUUUGCCUAGAAUAGAAGCAGGUGGGUGUGCCAGUCAUACACUCAUUGCUGAGGUAUGCUGAUAACACAGCAAUGAUCAUGGAUAAUCUAUUAACACACUUGAGCCAUACUCAGUCUUGUUUUGCAGAUAAACAUAGUCUGUGAUUAUUUUACAACACUGUUAAGGUGCAGAGGGUUGUCCCUCAUUUAUUACUUGACUAAUAAAUACUUUAAUUACACUUAAUAAAUAAUGUAAGCAGGGCUCACUGAAGUGGUAAUUCUUUAAAUUAAUUAUUAACUGCAUGCAAAAGGCUGCACUGCCAGUACCACUAAAAGAAAAUUCAGGCUUUAAUCUAGUGAUUAUUCAUUAUCUGGUAUAAAGGCUCCAUUUGCAUAUUAUUAGGGAAAUAAACUUCGGCCUCCUUGGCAAUACAGAUAGAUCUCAAAGUCCAUGCAUUAUGAAUCUCCAAAUACUAAAGCAAUGAUAAACAAUAUGUAAUAAAAUCCUCAGUUUAUAGCUUUAUAGCAGCUGGUUUUUGAUUUUUCAAAUAUAUUACAAUGAUAAAGUGACCAGUUAAUGUAUAAGCUCUUUGUGAAAGGUGGUGCCUACAGAUGGUCGACUGAUAGGAAACAGUAAAUGUGCAAACUGCUCAUUUCCCUUGAGAUUGGAGUCAUAAAGUGAUCUCAGUAAGAUAUGAGAAGAAAAUACCCAUUUAACCCCUUUCUCUGCAGCAACCCAAACAUGGUAGUGCACUGAAUUGUUUUGUAUGUGUCUGUUUCUCCUCUCCUCUCUGGCUUCACAUCUUCACUUUGGAAAAGUGAAAGCGGAAUACCUGGUUAUCCGGAGGUCACUGUCUCCACACAGAGUGGUGUCCUUGAUGCUAGCUUGGGGCAAAGAAGCCAGGCAAUCAAGGCUUUAAAUGCGUGGAUUUAUCAUCACCUCAAAUCGCCUGUCACUGUGAUGGAACAAAAAUAGAAAGGUAACCAGGAUGCUGUAAGAGGUUUGAAUCAACAUACUUUUCCUGGUCAGUUCACUGUUUUCAAGACUCGUUUAUGAGGAGAAAAAAAUUGUAGGGAGAGGAGAUAUGAGAGAAGAAAGAAGUGAUAGAGGGAAAGGGAAUGAAGACUGUUUGAAAGGGUUUGGUCUCUGUUCCUGUAAAGAUUGACCUGCAGUGUUCU